UUAUAUCUGAUGCAGUGCAGGUCUUGCUGAUUUUUUUUUUUUUUUUUUUUGUGACUGAAAGUUAAAGAAAUUAAAAUAAAUAAAAAAAUAAAGCAUUAAAUGCAAUAAUGGUAAGUAUUAAAUAAUACUGCUUAGAGGACACAUUGAGUCAGAUAUGGUAUUCCUACACCUUUAUUAAUUUAAGCUAAUUCAAAAGCAGACAUUCAGCAACAGUUGAACAUUGUAGCAGCGGAAAUAUUUGAAUAAACACUAACUGGGUUUUUCUUGUUUUCUUCACACCAUGCAUUCAGCUCAAGAACACCCUAUCACAGGUGUGUUUAUAUUGUAGGAAUAAACAUAAAAUCACUGAGACUCUUCUCUCAGUGGCACCUUGCUUACCAGAGGCACAACUUGCUCUGGGGAAAAUCUUUAAUCUGCGGAAUAUUAUGGCGUGAAUUACGGUCACAUGGAAGACAAAACGAAAAAGAAAUUUAGUUAUCGUGAUUGAUCAAAACACAAAAACCCAACCAGAAAAACAAAGUGGAAAAAGGCUCCCAAAAUAAAUAAGCUGGCCCUUUUUAUUUUUUAUCUUUGUUUCAUUGUUGAUGCAGGUAAAACCCUUUACAAAUCAAAGUAUUUUCAUUUCUUGGGAAUAACAUUAAACAAGCUUUCAUCUCGCUCUUUAACCAUUUACGCAUGGAAAACAAUCGUCACACAUUUGCAUCGCAUCACAGAACCACUGUCACAGGCCUUGCCUUUCUCACAAACUGCAAACAAUUCAAAGAACACCACUGCAAAAAAAAAAAAAAUAAAAAAAAAAAACAACCAAACACACAAACCCCAAGCAAUGCCAGAACAAAAUGACUAUAAAACGAACCCAGAACUCUGUGGAUGUAACAGUCCAUUUGGUGUAAUGGAACUUGUUCAUGCGGUUUAAGGUUCAAAAAACACAUUAUUUUCCACAUACUGUACAUUAUUGUUUCUCCUCUAUGCCCCACCUUUCUGAGUCGAUUUUUACAUAGCUCAUCGAAAAGUGAGGUGUGCUCUGAUUGGCCAGCUAUCCAGUGCAUUGUGAUUGGCUGAAUACCUCAAGCAUGUGAUGGAAAUGUUACGCCCCUUACCAUACUGUGAUGCUGUCUCCCGGCACGAAGAGACAAAACCAUUAAAACCCAUUAUAAACAAGGCAUUUGUUGCAUCCAGUGGGGUCAUAAUUACGGAUUAUAAUGACUUAUACUGUCU
ensembl:lncRNA